UACGGAGGGUGCGAGCGUUGUCCGGAUUUAUUGGGUUUAAAGGGUGCGUAGGUGGCUAGUUAAGUCAGUGGUGAAAUACAGCCGCUCAACGGUUGAGGUGCCAUUGAUACUGAUUAGCUUGAAAUAAUUGGAGGCUGCCGGAAUGGAUGGUGUAGCGGUGAAAUGCAUAGAUAUCAUCCAGAACACCGAUUGCGAAGGCAGGUGGCUACGAUUUAUUUGACACUGAGGCACGAAAGCAUGGGGAGCAAACAGG
rnacentral:rRNA from 1 species